rnacentral:tRNA from 2 species
GUAUAUUUAUUAUAAUUUUAAUAUAAUUGUUUUGCAUACAUUAGAUUUAUAUAUACG